CCUUACUACCUUCUUCUACUUCCUGUCCUCUUUGCCUGGAAUGCUCCCCUUCUCACCCUUCUCCUCCAGGCCAACUGCCAGACCCUCCUGAAAUAUUCUGUAGUGUGUGAGGUCCCUCCUCUUCACCACCAUAGAGCCCCCGUUCAAGUUCAAGUUCAGCACCUGCCACAUCACGUUGUCACCGUGAGCCUGACUCUCUCCCAUCAGACCACGAGCCACUGGAGAGCAGACACCUUCAUGCCCUCAAAGUCCAGCAGAGUCUGCUAUAGUCAGUUCUCAAGGUGACCUGAGAUGGGAAGAGCUGGAGAGAAGGGGUAUGGCACAUAGUUCAGGAGUCGCCCCCAACACACAACCGGAGCCUUCAUUCCCCUCCAAUGAACCUCUAACACUCAAUAUUGCUCUCCUCAAGAAAGACCUGCAUCUGUAGAAUGGGGAGGAGAUUCACUGCCUGAAAGAAAUCUGGUUGAAUAGCAGAUCUGUAUUGUGAAUCCUCCUACAGUGCAAGAGACACAGAUGCCAUUUCGAUCCCCGGCUCAGGAAGAUCCCUUGGAGGAGGGCAUGGCAACCCACUCCAGUCUUCUUGCCCGGAGAAUACCAUGGACAGAGGAA